ACUCCUACGGGAGGCAGCAGUGGGGAAUAUUGCACAAUGGGCGCAAGCCUGAUGCAGCCAUGCCGCGUGUGUGAAGAAGGCCUUCGGGUUGUAAAGCACUUUCAGCGGGGAGGAAGGCGAUACGGUUAAUAACCGUGUUGAUUGACGUUACCCGCAGAAGAAGCACCGGCUAACUCCGUGCCAGCAGCCGCGGUAAUACGGAGGGUGCAAGCGUUAAUCGGAAUUACUGGGCGUAAAGCGCACGCAGGCGGUCUGUCAAGUCGGAUGUGAAAUCCCCGGGCUCAACCUGGGAACUGCAUUCGAAACUGGCAGGCUUGAGUCUUGUAGAGGGGGGUAGAAUUCCAGGUGUAGCGGUGAAAUGCGUAGAGAUCUGGAGGAAUACCGGUGGCGAAGGCGGCCCCCUGGACAAAGACUGACGCUCAGGUGCGAAAGCGUGGGGAGCAAACAGGAUUAGAUACCCCGGUAGUCCCAUG
rnacentral:rRNA from 1 species